CAGUGAGGAAUAUUGGUCAAUGGGCGCAAGCCUGAACCAGCCAUGCCGCGUGCAGGAAGACGGUCCUAUGGAUUGUAAACUGCUUUUAUUUGGGAAUAAACUCUGAUACGUGUAUCAGCCUGAAGGUACCAAAUGAAUAAGCACCGGCUAACUCCGUGCCAGCAGCCGCGGUAAUACGGAGGGUGCAAGCGUUAUCCGGAAUCAUUGGGUUUAAAGGGUCCGCAGGCGGAUUUAUAAGUCAGUGGUGAAAGCCUGAUGCUUAACAUCAGAACUGCCAUUGAUACUGUAAGUCUUGAAUUCGAUCGAAGUGGGCGGAAUAUGACAUGUAGCGGUGAAAUGCUUAGAUAUGUCAUAGAACACCGAUAGCGAAGGCAGCUCACUAGGUCUGGAUUGACGCUCAGGGACGAAAGCGUGGGGAGCAAACAGGAUUAGA
rnacentral:rRNA from 1 species